GACGAACGCUGGCGGCGUGCUUAACACAUGCAAGUCGAACGGAAAGGCCCUGCUUUUGUGGGGUGCUCGAGUGGCGAACGGGUGAGUAACACGUGAGUAACCUGCCCUUGACUUUGGGAUAACUUCAGGAAACUGGGGCUAAUACCGGAUAGGAGCUCCUGCUGCAUGGUGGGGGUUGGAAAGUUUCGGCGGUUGGGGAUGGACUCGCGGCUUAUCAGCUUGUUGGUGGGGUAGUGGCUUACCAAGGCUUUGACGGGUAGCCGGCCUGAGAGGGUGACCGGGCAAAAUGGGAAUGAGGUACCGGCCCGAAUCCCAAGGGGGGGAGGAGGGGGGAAUAAUGCAAAAUGGGGGGAAGCCCGAUGCAGGAAAGGCGGGUGGCGGAAGAAGGGCCUUGGGUUGGAAAACCGCUUUGCCCGUGGAGAAGGGUGAGUGGACGGAAUUGGUAAAGAAGCACCGGCUAACUACGUG
rnacentral:rRNA from 1 species